GACGAACGCUGGCGGCGUGCUUAACACAUGCAAGUCGAACGGAUAGGCCCUGCUUUCUUCUGGUUCUCGCGUGGCGCGCGUGUGUGUUACACGUGAGUCUCCUUCCCUUUACUUUGUGAUAUCUUCAGGAGACUGCUGCUACUACCUAAUACGUGCUCCUGCUGCAUGGUGGUGUUUGGACCUUUUAGGCGGUUGUGGAUGGACUCGCGGCUUAUCAGCUUGUUGGUUGGGUAGUGGCUUACCAAGGCUUUGACGGGUGGCCGGCCUGAGAGGGUGACCAGCGACAAGAGGACUGAGAGACGGAGCAGACUGCAACGGGAGGCAGAAGGGGGGAAUAUUGCACAAUGAGCGGAAGCCUGAUGAAGAAGCGCCGCGAGCGGGAAGAAGGUCUUCGGGUGAUAAACGGCAGUAACCUGAGACGAAGCGUGAGUGACGGUAAUAGGAAAAGAAGCACCGGCUAACUACGUG
rnacentral:rRNA from 1 species